CGGGUGAGUAACGCGUGGAUAACCUGCCUCACACUGGGGGAUAACAGUUAGAAAUGACUGCUAAUACCGCAUAAGCGCACAGUACCGCAUGGUACAGUGUGAAAAACUCCGGUGGUGUGAGAUGGGUCCGCGUCUGAUUAGCCAGUUGGCGGGGUAACGGCCCACCAAAGCGACGAUCAGUAGCCGACCUGAGAGGGUGACCGGCCACAUUGGGACUGAGACACGGCCCAA
rnacentral:rRNA from 1 species